GAUUAAGGUACUACACUGCGUGAGCGGAACGAAAACAAAAACACCUAAAAUGUGGAAUAUAGCAUAUAGUCGACAAGAGAAAUCUACGAAAAACAAACAAAACUUUCAACAACGGAUCUCUUAGGUUCUCGCAUCGAUGAAGAGCGCAGCGAAAUAGCGAUACCUAGUAGUGAAUUCGCAGCCAUCGUGAAUCAUCGAGUUCUUGAACGCACAUUGCGCCCCUCGGCAUUCCGGGGGGCAUGCCUGUUUGAGCGUCGUUUCCAUCUUGCGCGUGCGCAGAGUUGGGGGAGCGGAGCGGACGACGUGUAAAGAGCGUCGGAGCUGCGACUCGCCUGAAAGGGAGCGAAGCUGGCCGAGCGAACUAGACUUUUUUUCAGGGACGCUUGGCGGCCGAGAGCGAGUGUUGCGAGACAACAAAAAGCUCGACCUCAAAUCAGGUAG
rnacentral:rRNA from 1 species